UUGUGACGGACCCACAUGGAUCAAGGAGUUCCCCUUGAACCCGGGUUUCUCUCUGCUCCUAAGCUUUGACGUCAACAGAACCCCUGGGACAGGACCAACACUGAUGGACCCCAACAGGCUUUCGAUGGAACAGGGGAAACUAUUCUUCAAGCAGCUUGGGAUUCCACAGAGAGAUAUUGACCUGAUGACCGAGGAAUGGGUAGUUGUCACUCCUGUGGAGGUGAUGCUCCAGCUUCCCCUGAUGCCAGGAGAGGAUCCAGCUGCCUGCUGUGUCUGAAACAAGAAACAUCAGCUGUCA